rnacentral:RNase_P_RNA from 1 species
AUAGCAAAUCGGCUUGUCGCUGUCUGAUGUUCUUUUGAAUGGCGGAGAGAGGAAAGUCCGGGCAACAUAGAGCACCAUACUUCCUAACGGGAAGCUCUUUCUCCUUUUUUAUUUCGGAUGAAAUAGUUGGGACAAAGGGAGUAGUGUAACAGAGAAUGACCGCUUCAUUUCGGUGAAGUAAGGGUGAAAAGGUGAGGUAAGAGCUCACCGGAAGGGGUAGUGAUGCCCUUUGCCGUACACCUUAUGGGUUGUAAGAUCAAGUAUACCGAUGUUUGUGAGGGUGGCUCGUCCUCUAUCGGGGGGUAGAUCGCUUGAGCUAUGCGGUGACGCAUGGUCUAGAUUAAUGACAAGCACCGUUUUUACGGUACAGAACCCGGCUUAUAGAUUUGCUAUAUUU